AUCUUAUUCACCUUCCGCCGGAGAGGCCGGACACGGAAGAAGAGAAGCCGCCGGAGACAGGGCUGACGCUCGACGUGACCGUGGACGGGAACGACACGUUGGCGAAGGAGUCGAACCCGUCGUUCUGCAUCAGCGCCAGCAUGCUGUAGCUGACGUACGAGGGCGCCACAUCGGGCAUCGGGGCGUCGCCCUCCAGGUACUGCACGACCUGGCGCAUGCCCGGCCGCGCCUCGGGCGAGGGGUGCGCGCACAUGAGCCCCAGCUUGACGGCCAGCCGGGCCUCGUCGGCGUCGUACUUGCCGCACAGCCGCGCGUCCAGCGUGUCGAGGGCGGCCCCCCUGCGCUGGUGCUCCUGCACCCAGUCCAGCAGCACGGUCUGGUCGACACCGGGCGCGACGCGCCCGAGCGGGCGGCGGCCGCAAGCCACCUCCAGCACGAACACGCCGAAGGCGAACACGUCCGUGGCCGGGGUCGCCCUCCCCGUGCGCACCAGCUCCGGGGCGAGGUAGCCCAUGGUGCCCACCACGUGCGUCGUCUGCGGGUCCACGCCGUGGUCGUACAGCCGCGCCAGGCCGAAGUCGCCCAGCCUGCCGUUCAUGUCGCCGUCCAGGAGCACAUUGCUGGCCUUGACGUCCCGGUGGAUCACCACCUUCUCCCAGUCCUCGUGCAGGUACAGCAGGCCGGCGGCGACGCCCCUGACGAUCUGGAACCUCUGCCCCCAGUCCAGGACGGGCCUGGCGGUCCUGUCGUCGUAGAGGUACUUGUCCAGGCUGCCGUUGGACAUGUAGUCGUACACCAGCAGCAGCUCGCCCUUCCGCCGGCAAUAGCCCAGCAGCUGCACCAGGUUCCGGUGGCGGAGGUGGCCGAUGCUCACCACCUCCGCGAUGAACUCCUUCAUCCCCUGCUUCGAGUCGUGCGACACCCUCUUCACGGCGACCUCGAGCUUGGACCCGGAGAGCACGCCCUUGUACACCCUCCCGAAGCCGCCGGUGCCGAGCAGCAUCUUGUUCUUGAACCCCUUGGUCGCCUGGUAGAGCUCCUUGUACGAGAAGCGGUGGGGGCCGAACUCCGCCUCCCAGUCCUCGCGCACCUCGGCGUACCUCACCCGCCGCCGCACGAACAGGAAGGCGCCCACGACCAGCGCGAGGACGAGCGCCGCGGUGGCGACCGGGAGCACGGUCUCCAGCACCUUGGACCGGGGCUUGGGCCCGAACCGCGGCAGCGCGGGAAGCCUGGAGAUGUCCAGCGGCGGGGCCGCGGCGCCCGUGGCGAAGCUCCAGCCCAGGACGUAGUGGCGCGUGUAGAUGACGCCCGUGGCCGCCGAGAAGCCGACGUAGGCGGUGCCGUCGUCCGCGCCGACCGCCGAGAGGUUGAGCGGCGUGGAGAUGAGCGGCUUCCGCGGCCUGGGCACGCCGGCGGGCGCCAUGGCCACGUCCAGCCGCGCGGCGGCGCCGUCGUAGUCGACCCAGACCUGCAUGGGCCGGCGGCUGAUGAGGCUGAGGUUGGUGAACGCCCCCGUGGCGUCGUCGUAGUAGCCGGCGCUGUGGUUCCGCAGCGACCUCAUGCUGUUGACGUUGACGCCGACGUGGUUGCUGUUCAUGUCCUGGAACUCCGGGUUGAGCAUGGUGUCCAGCUCGACGAAGAAGACGCGGUUGCCGUCCCUGCCGUUGUCGGUGACGUUGAGGACGCCCAGGUACUGCCCCGCGUUGAAGGCGGAGAGCCUGGUGCUCGGCGCGACCACCAGCGCCAUGCCGUUGUCGCUGAGCACGGUGUAGUUGGACACGAUGGCGAAGACGAAGGCCGCCGAGAAGGACCUGGCGGCGGCGGCGGCGCCGUCACGCAGGCGGAACGGCGCCGGGUGGAACGCGUGGCCGGCCAUCUGGCUGGUGCCGUUGCUGAGCGCCAGCAGGCCGUUCGGCGCCACCGCGGCCAUGCCGUCGAGCAACAGGUCGCUGCCUCCGAAGCCGUUGUAGGUGAACUCGUCGGCGGCGGCGAGCGCGACCGCGUGGAGGAGGAGGAGGAGGAGCGGACGGGGGCAACCCAUCGCGUUUCGCGUCCAGUAGCCGCAACCGCAACGCUCCCAACACAGGAUCCGGACAGGGGCAACUGGACUGGACUGAACACUGAAGUACAGCGUGAGGUCUGAAGUCUGAACGACCCGAUGCUUUGAGUUUGUCUUUGACCCCGACGGCGACUUGCUGUUCAAAGCCGCCGCCCAAGAUCACAAGAAUUCAAUAGGGCCGGACCCGUCGCUAUGCCAACCGCGUCCCAUUGAAUUUCCAGUGCACUACUGAUCGAAGUCAAGGAAAUACCGAUAGAAUAUCCUAGCAGCAGCCAGCGAUGACAGGAGUGGGUGGUAAGGUAACUACUAGUUUUGAGAGUAAUCAAGUUGGCUUGGUGUCGUCAGGCGGGCUGCCCCCUUUUGACUCUAGGCCGCCGCCUUUUCAUACACUUUCCGUGGGCAGGUUGUUUAAAGUUGGUAUCGAGCAAUAUUUUAUUUGUGACACUGCGUAGGACCAGACUUGAGAUUUAGAUAGACUUAAGAUUUGGAUAGAGAUGAAAACGGUCGU
rnacentral:misc_RNA from 1 species